GUUUUGUUUCUUUUUUUUUUUUUUGGCAGGGGUGCAGGGUGGAUUCUGGUCAGGCUUUCCUUGCCAGGUGGAUUUAAACUUCAGCUCAAUCACACAUGAUUUAAACUUCAGCUCAUAUCCCAAGCAGGACUAACACUGGGGGUUGCUGAUAGGAGGAGAAGAGAUUGGGAAAUGGAGGUAGUUAGAGAGAGAGGAACUUUGUUCAAUAUCGUCACUUUUUGCGGGAAAGGAGUAAGUGGGGGAAAAUGCAUCCUCAGCUGAUCCACAGAGAAGACCAACUGUCUUCCCUCCUGAUUACUGACAUUCUCAUCCAUGGGUAAACACAGAAAAGGAAACAAAAGCAGAAAGGUUUCUUGUCAGCAAUUCCAGUAAGAUGUUUCUCCAGCCAGAGACGAGCCUAGAGCCAGCACACUUCAAAGACAAUACAAUCGCCUGUCAGCUGCAGAAUUUCUCCUGGUCCAAGGUAAAAUAUUGCAUGGAAUGAUGAGGCGAAAGUGUGGGAAGGAGAAGGUGAUAACGUUAAGCCAAGGAAACAAAAGAGACAAGGAGUGAUACUCCAGCAGGGAGACAAGCUCUGGGACUAUUUUGGCCUGAACCUAAGGUAAAAAUGACAUAAGAGGCAAGCGGGUGUCUUCUGGCCAAGACAUCAAAGCUGCUGCAUUUGGAAUGUUGUCAUGAUCCAUUUGUAAAAGGCAGCCAUCCUCCAAAUGAUAUGCAGUAACCAGUGAGUAUGUUUGCAAAAAGGACUUGGGUGGAGAUAGUCAAAAUCCAUGAAUGUAUUGCAGCAAUUAUUCUUUUCCCUGGGAGAUCAAUAAUGGAUGGGGCAAGGAUUGAAGCCAAGAGGAUCUAAGGAUCAUAGGAAAUGAGUCCCCAGGGCUUUCCAAUGGAACCCUAGGGUGUUAUAUUUUUGGACAUGGCUACAGUAUUUGGAAAGGUAGUUCUUACUAAUACAGUUCUGUCCAUGUAGAGCUCACAGAUCAAAGGAUGGAAGAUAGGGGGUUCAUGCCAAAAAAGUAGUCUAUCAAAUGCUUUAUUAAGCAUGGAAAAAUGAGCUUUGGCAAGGAUAUACUCUCACAUGUGCAGAAAAAGUGAUCAAGGUAAAGAAGCCAGUAGAGAUCUCUAGAAGCCAGAACUGUGAACAUUUUUCAACUGCGAUGAAAGGAAAGAACAGACAACCAUAAUCAGGAGACAUUUUGGGCAAUGAAGGAUUAUGACAUGAGGCCAUUUCCUCAGGGAAAGUUGGUUGUGGUUUGGGAAGUUUGGGCUUUGGAGCUGAUGAUGGAUUUGGAACAACUAAUGCCUGGUGGCAGCCCCUCAAUUAGGGAACAACACAGGAAUCUGUGGGAAGGGCUGGGUUCCCAAGAAGGCAUUUCAACACUUGUCUAAUAACCUCGUCUCUGGUUUUUUGAGCAGCCCUAAACAACUUGUUCCUGAAAUCUAAGUAAUGGAUUUCUGGGUGUCACCUCUUUGGGUUAGGGAAGUUAAACUGAUUUCAGUUGCAUUGUUAAAAUCUUAGGUGUGUCUGAAUAACAGCUGUGCUGGUGCCUACUGGAGGACAGAAACAUGGCAAAGAGUAAGGGGAAGUGAUGAUAUAGAAUGUGUAAGGUGGGAAUUCAGGAAACAAUGACAGCAAAAGUGAUUUGAGAAACAAAGCCAAAGGAAAAGGUGAGUAAAAAGAAAAGAAGGAAGUCCCAUCUUCUACAGGGCAAAUACCCUGGUUAUUUAGCACGGUGCAUAAGGCCCUCUUGGUCUGCAUUUGCUGCCUGCUGCCUCUAGUGUUGCUGCAUCAUCCCCUUAGUACAAGACAAUCUGUAGUUCCCCAAAUGGACGAUGGGAGGCAGGGUUUAAUCUGGCCCCAGUGAUCUCCACUUCCCAGUAGCCACAUCACUGUAGAAUCCCCUCUCCUGAGUGUGGGCUGGCCCAGCAACUUGCUUCUAACUGUCGGAGAAUGACAAGUGAUGGGAUGUCACUUCCCGUAAUUAACUGACGGGAGACUGUAGCUUCUGUCUUGCUAGUGGAUGCUGUCUGUUGCCUUCCUGGUUUGUGUGCUUUGAUGAAGCAAGUGGCUGUGUUGCAGAGGUCCACUUGGCAAGGGGAUGAAAGUGGCCUUUGGCCAACAGCCAGCAAGGAGCUAAGGCCCUUUAUCCAACAACCCUUGAAGAACUGAAAUCUUCUAACAACCACAUGAGCUUGGAAAUGGAUCCCCGCCUUGACCCUUCAGAUGCGACCCCAGCCCUGGCCAGCGCCUCGAUUGCCACCUUGUGAGAGAUCCUGAAGGAUGGAUCCAGCUAAGCCAUGACCAGCCUGAGUGUUCAGCAGCACGGGGGGCCCACUGCUUGGUCUACACCCAAAAGAAAGGGAAUCCCUGUUUGGAGGGAUGUCUGCACCCCGGGCUCAUGGCAGCACUGUUCACCACAGUCAAGGCGUGGAAGCAAUCUAAGUUCCAUCAACAGAUGAAUGGAUAAAGAAGAAUAUAUAAUACACAAUGGAGUACUCUUCAGCCAUAAAAGAAGAAAGACAUUCUGUCAUUUGUGACAAUAAGUGUCUCAUUUGUUUCAAGAUAUGAGCAAACACUACUUCAACUUACAGACAGAAGAAGAAAUUGCUGACACCAAGUAGUAGCCAGCUCCACUGGAAUCUGCUAUCUUGUUGUUAAAAGAGCGUUCAAGGCCGGGCAGAGUGGCUCACGUCUGUAAACCCAGCAAUUUGGGAGGCCGAGGUAGGCGGAUCACUUGAGGUCAGGAGUUCAAGACCAGCCUGGCCAUCAUGGUGAAACACCGUCUCUGCUAAAAAUACAAAAAUUAGCCGGGCGUGGUGGAGGGCACCUGUAAUCCCAGCUACUUGGGAGGCUGAGGCAGGAGAAUGGCUUGAACCCAGGAGGUGGAGGUACGUGCCACUGCACCCCAGCCUGGGCAACAGAGCAAGACUUUGUCUCAAAAAAAUAAUAAAUAAAAUAAAAUUUUAAAAAAUAAAGAGAGUUCAAGAUGGCUUGGGCUGGCUAGGUUUCCUCUCUCCUUCUUCAAGGAAGUUCAACCAAAUUGGGAUGCACUGACUCUGCCCUGGUUCCAGGGAGUGGCUUGCAGAUGUUUCUGGCAGCGCUUACUGCCUGUCACCAAGGGUUCUCUCUCACAGGCAUUCUCUCUUCCCUUGCUCUCUCACAGUCUUCUCCUCUGCCCUUCCUCCUCUGUAAGCGUGGCAUUCCAGGUUCUUCCUGAUCCAUUCCUGCUUACCCCUCUGCCUUCAUCCCACACCACUCCAGGCGCAUUUGAUGAAUGCAGCAUACCUGUAUAAGCACCUACUUUGUGCCUGCCACUGCUUCUGGCACAGAGAUACAGAGGCAAGCAAUGUGAAUACUAUUCCUGCUUCCACAGAGCUUGGGGGCCAGGGUGGAAUACAAACAAAUAAACAGGUGGUGACAAGGUAGUGUGAUAAGUGUCAGGUACCCAUGUACAGGGUGCUAUGGGAACCAGUAAAUGGAAUGCCACCUGGACUUGGUGGGCCAGGGAUGCUUCCCAGAGGAAGGAACAUUUCCUUAGGGACCUGGAAAGUGAGUUGACAUGAGCCAGAUGAGGGUGGGAGGGUGGGCAGAGUGUUCCAGACAGCAUAUGCCAAGGCUGAGGCAUGAAAGGAAGAGUUCCAUAUGGUGAGAAGACAGAAGAUGUGCUGGGAAGAGGUAGAGAGGGGGCUGGAGGCAUAGGCUGAGGCUGGACCCCACAGGGCCUUGGAAGCCAGCUCAGCAAGGCUGCAGAGCCACUAGCAGACCUUUGUAGGCCGACAGGCUUCCUAACCUCUGGGCCUUAUCCAGGGAUGGGGUCCCUCCAGUUCCAGUGCCCUUGAAAUGGCAGGUGACCCAUAUGCUAUAGUGUGUAUCACACCACACUCUGAAUGCCUGUUUGCUUGCUUGUCUCUCCCAUCUGUUCAGUGGGUAAGUUGAGGGCAGGGCUAACUUUCAUGCCCAGCAUCGAGCACAGGGCCUGGCUCGACCUUGCCAAGGAGGCCACUGGCCUUCCUGGGAGACUGGGGUUUGGGGCCAGCUGCAGACUGGCUGACAAGGAAAGCAAUAGGCAGAGAGAGGAGAAGCAGAGAGGGACAGAAUAUUGAGAGAGCGUGAAGAAGUAGAAAAAGGAAAGGAAAUGGAAAAUUGCCCUCAGCAUUUUGGGCUUCUUAAAGGAAGAGAAUAAAAGUAUAAUUCUUAAUUUCUCUCUCUUUCUAAUCAUCUCUUCCCCCCUCCCCCCCACCCCCGCCUCUCUCUUUCUUUCAUUCAGCUGGAUCUCCCUAUGUUGCCCAUGCUGGGCUGGAACUCCUGGGCUCCAGUGAUCCUCCUGCCUCAGCCUCCUGAGUGCUGGGAUUAGAGGCUGAGCCACUGCACCCAGCUUAAAAGUGCCAUUCUUACUACAGCUGGAAGUGAACCACAGCAAAUCACCUUCAAAACAAAAGGACACCGAAGAUAAGUCAGUGCAUAAAAGAACCACAGGCUGAGCCAAGGUAAGAGGCCCUUUAGUGGAGGGCUGAGUAAUGGUGGCGACUUGGGCCUCUGCCCAUCAGUUAAGAGCAUGACUCCUGUGGCUCCUUCAAGCAAUCAGGAUGGUAAGAACCCACUGCAGAACUGUGGUUUGCUUUUACGGUUUUAAUUAAAUUAAAUUAACUAUAAUAACCAGGGCUUCUGUGUGUUUCACUUUCCAAAUCAAAACGGCCUAUUGUAGCUGUCGGGCACAGCGUUUCUGAGCUGAAAAUCUAAGUUGCGUGUGUUGGUGCUUUUUUUUUCUUCCUUUACUAGAAGUGCAGGCUGAUCUUUUGAGAGCUGAAUUACAGUAAUAGGAAUGGAAAUGAGUUACUGAUGGCAGCUCUGAAUCCCUAAUACUGUCACUUCUUCCCAUCUGUGCGCCCGAGGCAUUGGCCAUCAUUCUGGGUAAAAUGCAGGGCUAGAGCUCCAGCUAGGAGUCAGGAGACUUGAGCUUGAA
rnacentral:lncRNA from 1 species